GAUGAACGCUGGCGGCGUGCCUAAUACAUGCAAGUCGAGCGAACAGACGAGGAGCUUACUCCUCUGACGUUAGCGGCGGACGGGUGAGUAACACGUGGAUAACCUACCUAUAAGACUGGGAUAACUUCGGGAAACCGGAGCUAAUACCGGAUAACAUGUUGAACCGCAUGGUUCAACAGUGAAAGACGGUCUUGCUGUCACUUAUAGAUGGAUCCGCGUCGCAUUAGCUAGUUGGUAAGGUAACGGCUUACCAAGGCAACGAUGCGUAGCCGACCUGAGAGGGUGAUCGGCCACACUGGAACUGAGACACGGUCCAGACUCCUACGGGAGGCAGCAGUAGGGAAUCUUCCGCAAUGGGCGAAAGCCUGACGGAGCAACGCCGCGUGAGUGAAGAAGGUCUUCGGAUCGUAAAACUCUGUUAUUAGGGAAGAACAAAUGUGUAAGUAACUAUGCACGUCUUGACGGUACCUAAUCAGAAAGCCACGGCUAACUACGUGCCAGCAGCCGCGGUAAUACGUAGGUGGCAAGCGUUAUCCGGAAUUAUUGGGCGUAAAGCGCGCGUAGGCGGUUUUUUAAGUCUGAUGUGAAAGCCCACGGCUCAACCGUGGAGGGUCAUUGGAAACUGGAAAACUUGAGUGCAGAAGAGGAAAGUGGAAUUCCAUGUGUAGCGGUGAAAUGCGCAGAGAUAUGGAGGAACACCAGUGGCGAAGGCGACUUUCUGGUCUGUAACUGACGCUGAUGUGCGAAAGCGUGGGGAUCAAACAGGAUUAGAUACCCUGGUAGUCCACGCCGUAAACGAUGAGUGCUAAGUGUUAGGGGGUUUCCGCCCCUUAGUGCUGCAGCUAACGCAUUAAGCACUCCGCCUGGGGAGUACGACCGCAAGGUUGAAACUCAAAGGAAUUGACGGGGACCCGCACAAGCGGUGGAGCAUGUGGUUUAAUUCGAAGCAACGCGAAGAACCUUACCAAAUCUUGACAUCCUCUGACCCCUCUAGAGAUAGAGUUUUCCCCUUCGGGGGACAGAGUGACAGGUGGUGCAUGGUUGUCGUCAGCUCGUGUCGUGAGAUGUUGGGUUAAGUCCCGCAACGAGCGCAACUCUUAAGCUUAGUUGCCAUCAUUAAGUUGGGCACUCUAAGUUGACUGCCGGUGACAAACCGGAGGAAGGUGGGGAUGACGUCAAAUCAUCAUGCCCCUUAUGAUUUGGGCUACACACGUGCUACAAUGGACAAUACAAAGGGUAGCGAAACCGCGAGGUCAAGCAAAUCCCGUAAAGUUGUUCUCAGUUCGGAUUGUAGUCUGCAACUCGACUACAUGAAGCUGGAAUCGCUAGUAAUCGUAGAUCAGCAUGCUACGGUGAAUACGUUCCCGGGUCU
rnacentral:rRNA from 1 species